AUUUAUUUUUGCUAUUUACCCAGGAGGCAGACGAUCAUGCUGACAAGGUAUUCACUAAACUGGUUUUGACAAAGCAGUCAUUUACUAGGCGAAAUGACCUCACACUAUAUCCCAUGCACAGCAUCAAAGUAUCAACAUAUUACUCCAGUGCGAAUUCCCAGCAAAUAUUUUCAGUUUCCAUUUGGAUAUUCCAAAAUAUUCACAAUGUGGCUAUAUUUUAGAGAAAUGUAUCUUACAUUAAUAUUCUUUCUUUUUAAGACUGGCGAAAUAUUCUGCUUAUAGUAUACACUGAUCAGAUCUAAAGUCCACUUUUUUCUUUUGGUUUGUGUAUGAGGGAACAGGCAACAUUGACCCUAAGACUUUAGUGCAAUUAAGCAUUUAUUAAAAGUAUAAUAUAAAAGAGAUCCAUCGUUCAACCUUUUGCAGGACUACUAAAGUCACCCGAGUGCAGUGGUUCUGUCGAUUCAACCAUUCAAGGUAAAACAAUGCUGUUUUGCAGAAACAUCCAUUGGAGGUGCUUCGGUCACAUGAUGCGGAAGUCCCAGUAGGAAAGCAUUGAGCCAACCGGGAAGCUUGGAGGCGCACGGUGCUCCUAUGGUAUGCACAUCAGUUCUCACCUCCUGCAUGAGGACCAUUGGAUUGGACCACACUGCAUGAGACCAUG